rnacentral:rRNA from 1 species
AGUGAACGCUGGCGGUAGGCCUAACACAUGCCAGUCGAACGGCAGCACAGUAAGAGCUUGCUCUUACGGGUGGCGAGUGGCGGACGGGUGAGGAAUACAUCGGAAUCUACUUUUUCGUGGGGGAUAACGUAGGGAAACUUACGCUAAUACCGCAUACGACCUACGGGUGAAAGCAGGGGAUCUUCGGACCUUGCGCGAUUGAAUGAGCCGAUGUCGGAUUAGCUAGUUGGCGGGGUAAAGGCCCACCAAGGCGACGAUCCGUAGCUGGUCUGAGAGGAUGGGCGGCGACACUGGAACGUAGACACGGUCCAGACUCCUACGGGAGGCCGCAGUAGGGAAUCUUGCGCAAUGGGCGUAAGCCUGACAGAGCAACGCCGCGUGAGGGAAGAAGGUCUUCGGAUCGUACAACUCUGUUAUUAGGGAAGAACAAAUGUGUAAGUAACUCUGCACGUCUUGACGGGACGUAAUCAGAAAGCCACGGCUCACUACGUG